CUUGACUGUAUUCCUGAUCCUUAUAUGACAAGGGAAGCUUUCUGGCAGAAUGUGGUCCUGUCCUUGUCCGGCAAGAACCAGAAAAGGCAGAUUUCGUUUGCAGUUAAGAAGUGCAGGGAAAAACUUUCUAUUUUAGAUAAAAACGAGCAUACAACACUGGAUUCCUGAUCGGAACGUCACAAGGGGCGCUUUCUGACAGCGUGUCGUCCUGUGUUGUCCGGCAUAAACCUGAAGCAAAUAUGGAGCUGUAUGCCGAUGAACUAUAUAAGAAUGAGACACGCAUCGACUCUGAUUUGGCUGUAUCACAGUUGUCUCCCUUGGGCUGUUGUUUAACUUAUGAUCUUCAUGUUGAGACAAAAAGAAAGAGAUAUAUGAGCAGACUUCCGACAGAAUAUCCUUGAAAUGGAGGUCAUAUGGAGCUCUUCCUGGCAGGAUAUAGUCAUUGGUUGUCCAUCAAAAACCAGAAACACACAUAGAAAGAUAAAUACAUGUAAUGUGUUUUGGUUUGUUUACAUGUUUGUCGAGUCAGAACUAAUAUGAAUAUGUUACAUCUACCAAUGGAUAAAUAGCUGAUUUCUCGCGGAAACAUUACAUGCAAAUGACAGAGUGUUUUUGUGGUUCACCUAUGACGCUCUUGUCUCAAUUGAGUAAACAGCAAUAGAAGUUUAACUUUUUGUUGUAAAUGCUGUUGUUUUUUGUAUAGACAUUUUUUUAUAAUUGUCUUUACAACUGCAGUGGUGUAAUGUUUACGCGAAUGGUGAUUAUGAAAUCUCAUGUAAGCCACCAUUCAUGACAGAAGACAGAAUUGAGAGCAGAAAGUCGAAAGUAACCAUAUGUGUUUGUA